AUGUGUUGCUUGUUCAUUCAUAAUUUGAAAGAUACAAUGGCUUCUUGCGUUGACUUUGUCUAUUUUUUCCUUGCAUUGUUGUUAUGCAUUACAUCCAUUUUCACUCCAGGAGGAGCAAUUGAUGGUCCCUAUCCAAAUUUGCGCUUUACUUUUUCCACUGACAAACUAUGUUCAAGUUCAACUAAUAAUAAUUAUUGUUAUAAUUAUUGUUUAAAAGUUCUGAAGUUUCGAAAUGGUGGCGCGUGCCUCGAAAAUUAUUGUCGUUGUGCUAGUUAGACAUCAAAUGUACAUCUCCAUUAAUAAAAAAAAAUUUAUAGAUACGUUCUAACAGCAUUAAA